rnacentral:sRNA from 1 species
GGAAGGAUCAUUACAGAGUUCAUGCCCUAUGGGUAGAUCUCCCACCCUUGUGUAUUUAUACCAUGUUGCUUUGGCGGGCCGUUGGGCUUCGGCCUGCUCACGGCUCCGGCUGUGGAGUGCCCGCCAGAGGACCCAAAACUCUUGUUAUCAGUGUCGUCUGAGUACUAUAAAAUAGUUAAAACUUUCAACAACGGAUCUCUUGGUUCUGGCAUCGAUGAAGAACGCAGCGAAAUGCGAUAAGUAAUGUGAAUUGCAGAAUUCAGUGAAUCAUCGAAUCUUUGAACGCACAUUGCGCCCCCUGGUAUUCCGGGGGGCAUGCCUGUUCGAGCGUCAUUUCAACCCUCAAGCACUGCUUGGUAUUGGGCCUCGCCGGAGACGGCGGGCCCUAAAAUCAGUGGCGGCGCCGCUGGGCCCUGAGCGUAGUAAUUCUCUCGCUACAGGUCCCCGCGUGCUCCCGCCAGAACCCCCCAAUUUUUCUAUGGUUGACCUCGGAUCAGGUAGGGAUACCCGCUGAACUUA